rnacentral:rRNA from 1 species
UACGGGGGGGGCAAGCGUUGUUCGGAAUUACUGGGCGUAAAGGGCGCGUAGGCGGUUUGCUAAGUUGAAUGUGAAAACUCUGGGCUUAACCCAGAGCCUGCAUUCAAUACUGGUAGGCUAGAGUUCUGGAGGGGAUAGCGGAAUUCCUGGUGUAGCGGUGAAAUGCGUAGAUAUCAGGAGGAACACCGGUGGCGAAGGCGGCUCACUGGACCGGUACUGACGCUGAUGCGCGAAAGCGUGGGGAGCAAACGGG